CGCCAGUUUCAGGGUCGGUACGAGCAAGCGGGAAGGGGAUUUCGCGUCCCGCUGGUUGUUCGGAAGCGAGGAGCAGCCAGAAAGGGGCUGCAGCUUCGCGGGGAAAGAAGAAAUAUUCUGGAUGGAUUCCCUGCCGCUGGCUCCUUGUGAAGUGGCAGUCCAGGCUGAGAGAACCUUUAUUCCCAUGGUGCUGGAGCCUUUGAUCAGUGCAGAAAGAAGAAAGUCCACACUUUGGACUGAAGUCAAAUCUGGAAAACAAGUCAGGAAAAGCUGAAACCUCAAGCUCUGUGUGCCAUCAUAAAACUUUUUGCUGCAGUUUCUAAUCAGGGAAGAGAUCACCUAAUCAAAAGAGUGCUUUGGAAAGAAGAACAAUUCAAUACUGAACAUGAAUGAGGAGCUCUAGCUCCUGAUAAAGACUGCGCUGCUCGGGGAAGAUUUGUUGCUGUUGGUAAAAGCCUGAACAGGCUCUUUGCAGCCAAACUGGGAGCAGAGGAACUGUCCCAAGUUCUAAUGGGAUGAGUGGUGUUUCUGUCCUUGGGGCAGCUGCUGAUGGAGGGGUUGCUCUCGGUUUUCCUGCUCUCUCUGCCUUCCCUUGUGCAGCUGCAGAGCUGUGCAGAGGUUUUGUUCCAGGUAAGCCCCUGGCUGUCAGCUCAGCAGCGCUCAGGCACAGGAUUUCUCCCCGUUAAUGCCUCACUUCCACACGGGGCUGCACUCGGGUUCUGUAGAAUUCCUC